rnacentral:rRNA from 1 species
UACAGAGGAUGCAAGCGUUAUCCGGAAUGAUUGGGCGUAAAGAGCGUGUAGGCGGCCAGGUAGGUCCGUUGUGAAAACUGGAGGCUUAACCUCCAGCUGUCGAUGGAAACCAUCUGGCUAGAGUCCGGAAGAGGAGAGUGGAAUUCCUGGUGUAGCGGUGAAAUGCGCAGAUAUCAGGAAGAACACCCGUGGCGAAGGCGGCUCUCUGGGACGGUACUGACGCUGAGACGCGAAAGCGUGGGGAGCGAACAGG